rnacentral:rRNA from 1 species
UCUGACGGAGCACGCCGCGUGAGUGAUGAAGGUUUUCGGAUCGUAAAGCUCUGUUGUUAGGGAAGAACAAGUGCCGUUCAAAUAGGGCGGCACCUUGACGGUACCUAACCAGAAAGCCACGGCUAACUACGUGCCAGCAGCCGCGGUAAUACGUAGGUGGCAAGCGUUGUCCGGAAUUAUUGGGCGUAAAGGGCUCGCAGGCGGUUUCUUAAGUCUGAUGUGAAAGCCCCCGGCUCAACCGGGGAGGGUCAUUGGAAACUGGGGAACUUGAGUGCAGAAGAGGAGAGUGGAAUUCCACGUGUAGCGGUGAAAUGCGUAGAGAUGUGGAGGAACACCAGUGGCGAAGGCGACUCUCUGGUCUGUAACUGACGCUGAGGAGCGAAAGCGUGGGGAGCGAACAGGAUUAGAUACCCCCGGUAGUCCA